rnacentral:sRNA from 1 species
UAAUAUCAAAGCCGCGAUUAAAACAUUGA